rnacentral:rRNA from 1 species
AUUGAACGCUGGCGGCAUGCCUUACACAUGCAAGUCGAACGGUAACGCGCCUUCCGGUGCGGACGCGUGGCGCACGGGGGAGUAAUACGUCGCAGCAUGCCCGCACGAGGGGGGUAACGAGGCGCAAGCUUGGCUCUUACCCCAUACGAUCUCCGGAUGAAAGCACAGGGCAGCAUAGCCUUUCGCGCACUGGGCGGCCGAUGGCAGAUUAGCUAGUUGGUGGGAUAAAAGCUUACCAAGCCGACGAUCUGUAGCUGGUCUGAGAGGACGAGCAGCCACACUGGGACUGAGACACGGCCCAGACUCCUACGGGAGGCAGCAGUGGGGAAUUUUGGACAAUGGGGGCAAGCCUGAUCCAGCCAUCCCGCGUGUAGGAUGAAGGCCUUCGGGUUGUAAACUGCUUUUGGACGGAAAGAAAAGUCGUCGUUUAAUACAGGGUGGACAUGACGGUACCGUAAGAAUAAGCACCGGCUAACUACGUG